UACGGAGGGGCUAGCGUUGUUCGGAAUUACUGGGCGUAAAGCGCGCGUAGGCGGACCUGCAAGUCGGGGGUGAAAGCCCGAGGCUCAACCUCGGAACUGCCUUCGAUACUGCGGUCUCGAGUCCGGGAGAGGUGAGUGGAAUUCCGUAAGUGUAGAGGUGAAAUUCGAUAGAUAUUAGGAAGAACACCAGUGGCGAAGGCGG
rnacentral:rRNA from 1 species